rnacentral:rRNA from 1 species
GUCUACGGCCAUGCCACCCUGAACAAGCCCGAUCCUGUCUGAUCUCGGAAGUUAAGCAGGGUUGGGCCUGGCUAGUACUUGGAUGGGAGAUCACUUAGGAAGACCAGGUGCUGUAGACA